GAUGAACGCUAGCGGCAGGCUUAACACAUGCAAGUCGAGGGGCAGCACGGGUAGCAAUACCUGGUGGCGACCGGCGCAAGGGUGCGUAACGCGUGAGCAACAUGCCCUAUACAGGGGGAUAAUCCAGGGAAACUUGGUCUAAUAUCCCAUAGUAUUUAGAGGAGGCAUCUUCUAUAAAUUAAAGCUUCGGUGGUAUAGGAUUGGCUCGCGUGACAUUAGCUAGAUGGUGAGGUAACGGCUCACCAUGGCAAUGAUGUCUAGGGGUUCUGAGAGGAAGGCCCCCCACACUGGGACUGAGACACGGCCCAGACUCCUACGGGAGGCAGCAGUGAGGAAUAUUGGACAAUGGAUGGAAAUACUGAUCCAGCCAUGCCGCGUGCAGGAAGACAGCCCUAUGGGUUGUAAACUGCUUUUAUAUGGGAGCAAUAAGGUCUACGUGUAGACUGAUGAGAGUACCAUAUGAAU
rnacentral:rRNA from 1 species